UACGUAGGGUGCAAGCGUUGUCCGGAAUCAUUGGGCGUAAAGCGCACGUAGGCGAUCUGUUAUGUCGGAUGUGAAAGCCCUUGGCUCAACUGAGGAAGUGCAUCCGAAACUGGCAGGCUAGAGUACUAAAGAGGAUCGCGGAAUUCCCGGUGUAGAGGUGAAAUGCGCAGAUAUCAGGAGGAACACCCGGUGGCGAAGGCGGGUCUCUGGGCCGAUACUGACGCUGAGGAGCGAAAGCGUGGGGAGCGAACAGG
rnacentral:rRNA from 1 species